rnacentral:tRNA from 1 species
GCCCCUUUAGCUCAUUUGGUAGAGCAACUGAUUUGUAAUCAGUAGGUGGUCUGUUCGAAUCGGACAAGGGGCACCA